rnacentral:rRNA from 1 species
CCUACGGGUGGCAGCAGUGGGGAAUAUUGCACAAUGGGGGAAACCCUGAUGCAGCGACGCCGCGUGAGUGAAGAAGUAUUUCGGUACGUAAAGCUCUAUCAGCAGGGAAGAAAAUGACGGUACCUGACUAAGAAGCCCCGGCUAACUACGUGCCAGCCGCCGCGGUAAUACGUAGGGGGCAAGCGUUGUCCGGAUUUACUGGGUGUAAAGGGAGCGUAGACGGUAGCGCAAGUUUGGAGUGAAAUCCCAUGGCUUAACCAUGGAAACGCUUUGGAAACUGUGCAGCUAGAGUGCAGGAGAGGUAAGCGGAAUUCCUAGUGUAGCGGUGAAAUGCGUAGAUAUUAGGAGGAACACCAGUGGCGAAGGCGGCUUACUGGACUGUAACUGACGUUGAGGCUCGAAAGCGUGGGGAGCAAACAGGAUUAGAUACCCUUGUAGUC